UGUCUGAAAAAAAAAAAAGAAUAGAUUUCCUGUGACCAAUUUCGAUAUUAUUUAUUUUUAGCCAAACUUAUUGACCCAGAAUGACCAGUUUAGAUAAAUCGUGGUCCUGGGAUGGAACACAAAAAAGUGGAAUUUUAUUAGAAAAGGAGAAGGGGAAUGGCUAUUGAACAUUGAUGUUGUGUUCAAUAUAGUGAGGGUUUUUUAUUUUGUUUUUUUGAGACAGGGUCUCAGGGUCUUGCUCUGUCUCCCAGGCUGGAGUGCAGUGCAGUGGCAUGAUCAUAACACUGUAGCCUUGAACUCUUCAGGCUCAAGUGACCUUCCCACCUCAGCCUCCUGAGUAGCCAGGACUACAGGCAUGCACUGCCACACCUGGCUCAUUUUUUAAUUUUUUGUAGAGAUGCGAUCUCAUUAUGUUGACCCGGCUUGUCUCAAACUCCUGGGCUCAAGCAAUCCUCCGACCUUAGCCUCCCAAUGCACUGGGAUUACAGGCACAAGCCACUACACCUGGCCUGAACUUUCUUAUUCUAAGGAUUUGCAGAGUUUCUGUUUAAGCCAUUAUCUUCAAAUAAUGGUUUUAAUUUCUUUUUAAUCCUUAUGUAAAAUACCUUCUUUCUUUCUUUUUUUUUUUUCUUUUUUUCUUUUUUUUUUAGAUGGAAUUUCACUCUUGUUGCCCAGGCUGGAGUGCAAUGGCACGAUCUUGGCUCACCACAACCUCCACCUCCCAGGUUCAAGGGAUUCUCCUGCCUCAGCCUCCCGAGUAGCUGGGAUUACAGUUUUGGCUUCGUGAUCACGUAAACCAAGAGUCACAAACUGAAAUGCCAUCAAGGGGCCAAGCAGGCUUAAAACCUCUCAAAGGUUCUUCACCCCCUCAAGGCUGCAGCACACACCUCCCAGCACAGCUCUGCAAGUUGACCCCGCCCUUCUUCUCCAUCGGUGGUUCUCAGAGUGUAGCCCUCCGAGCAGCAGCACUCUGACCCGCUCCAUCAAGAUCUCUAGGCUUGGAGCUUGCGAGACUAUGUAAACAAGGCCAGUUUUUUGUUCGUUUGUUUGUUUUUUGGAGACAGAGUCUCGCUGUGUCACCCAGGCUGGAGUGCAGUGGCUUGAUCUUGGCUUACUCCAUCUCCACCUCCCAGGUUGAAGUGAUUCUCCCGCCUCAACCUCCUGAGCAGCUGGGACUAUAGGUGUGCACCACCACACCCAGCUAAUUUUUGCAUUUUUAGUAGAAAUGGGGUUUCAGGCCGGGCGCGGUGGCUCACGCCUGUAAUCCCAACACUUUGGGAGGCCAAGGCGGACGGAUCACGAAGUCAGGAGAUCGAGACCAUCCUGGCUAACAUGGUGAAACCCCGUCUCUACUAAAAAUACAAAAAAAUUAGCCGGGCAUGGUAGCGGGUGCCUGUAGUCCCAGCUACUCGGGAGGCUGAGGCAGGAGAAUGGCGUGAACCCAGGAGGCGGAGCUUGCAGUGAGCCGAGAUCACGCCACUGCACUCCAGCCUGGACGACAGCAAGACUCUGUCUCAAAAAAAAAAAAAAAAAGAAAAAGAAACGGGGUUUCACCACAUUGGCCAGGCUAGUUUCGAACUCCUGACCUCAAGCGAUCCGCCCGCCUCUACCUCCCAAAGUGCUUGGAUUACCGGUGUGAGUCACUGUGCCCAGUCAACAAGGCCAGUUUUUAUGCACAUUUAAGUUUGAGAACCACAUUGCAGUUAAUCUCAUCUGGUUUCCUUUCUUGAACUCCAUGCUUUAGCCUCAUUGAACCAUCAGUUUCUGGAAAGUGGUAUAUUAUCCCUCACCUUCUAUAAUUUGCACAUGCUAUUCUCUGCCCUUAUCCCAUGGCAAUGGCUUUGUCUGCUUUUAUCCAUAUUCCCCACCUCUGUGGAAACUGGAAGGCAGGGUCACCACCUUAUUCAUCUUUACAUCUUUAGGGUCUUGGACCUGACAUACAGUAGGUGCUCAAUAACUAUUUUAUUUGUCUCUCUCUGUUUUUUUUUUUUAGAGAUGGGGUCUCACUCUGUCACCUAGGCUGGAGUGCAGUGGCUCAGUCAUGGCUCACCUCCCCCUCAACCUCCUGGGCUCAAGCAAUCCUCCUGCCUCAGCCUCCCAAGUAGCUGAGACUACAGGCACUCACCACCAUGGCCAGCUAAUUUUUAUUUUUUUUUGUAGAGAUGGGGGUCUUGUUAUGUUGCCCUGGCUGGUCUCCAAAUAUUGGCCUUAAGUGAUCCUUCCACCUCAGCCUCCCAAAAGCGCCACUGCACUACAGCCUGGGCGACAGAGUAAGAUUCCAUCUCAAAAAAUAAAAAUAAAGAUAAUACACACACACAUAUAUACACAUACACCUCUUUAUUUCUUCAGCGAGACCUGAAGAUAUAUAUCCAUAAUAUAAGAACAGGAUGCUAUAAAAAAUGAACAAUAAGAAAACAAGAAAAACUAUUAUAAAUUAGAAAUAUGAUAACCAAGGCUGGGUACGGUGGCUCACGCCUGUAAUCUAUUACAGGCGUGAGCCAGUGAGCCUGGCCAUUCAAUAACUAUUUUCUUAAUGAACAUUGAGGGUCAGAUGAGCAGAAACGUAACUGCUAAAAGCAGGCAACAUUCAGCUACCAGGAUUUAUGAGGGAGAACACAGUAAACUGUGCUAUUACUUAGGAAUACCUAGAGUCAAUGUACAUUUAUUUUCAUUUUACUCUAGCCCCACUGGUGAUCUCUGCCCAGUAAUCUAACUAAAUUGAUGACAGUGGGAAUGAAAGGAAAUCAUAGAUAUGUAUUAUUGUAAAGGAAAAGAAAUGCAAAUGAAUGGGUGGAGACAGUCUGUACAAUUGAAGAUCUCAUCUCUUCAUAUAUAUAUACAUAUAUAUAUAUAUUUUUUUUUUUUUUUCAAGACAGGAUCUUAGCACCUACUAUUUGCAAGACUCCCCCUAUGUUAACCUUUACAGCAACUCUCGGAGGGAUGUUUUAUUAUUGAGAGAACUGAGAGACAGAGGUCAUUAAAUAUUUGUCCAAGAUCCUACAGCCGCAACAUGGUAAAUCCACUGCUAUUGGAACUUCCUGUUAAGUGAGUUCCAUGGCCCCAAACUGCAUUCCCACCCAUGUUGCUCACAGAUUGGUCACAAUGUGGCUCACCGUCACAGGCACAGGUGAAUGGAUCAACCAUUAUUUUCGAUAAUGAUUCUGGGGUAUCAUCUUUGACUCAAAAACGCAAACUGUUAUUAUUAUCUAUGCAGUCUACAGCCCUCUGCUCUACCAGCUGAGCUAUCGAAGAGUGCACAAGCUGUUAUUAUAUCACAAGAUUUUUUUUUUCAGACAGGGUCUUAUUCUGUGGCCCAGGCUGAAGUGAAGUGGCUCGAUGGUAGCUCACUGCAGCCUUGAACUCCUGGGGUCAAGCGAUCCUCCUACCUCAGCCUCCCAAGUAGCUGAAACUACAGGCAGGCACCACUAUGCCUGGCUGACUUUUGUAUUUUUUGUAGAGACGGGGUUUCGCCGUGUUGCCAGGCUAAUCUGCAACUCCUGGGCUCAAGCAUUCUGCCCACUUCACCCUCCCAAAGUGCUGGGAUUUCAGGCUAGAGCCACCAUGCCCAGCCCACAAGAUCUAAACGCUACUGUUGAAGCAAAAAGACUUGAAGACAGAAUUUGCCCUCCUAAUAUAAGCCCAUGGUAACCUGAACCUCCUUCACCCUAACUCUCAUCACAGUGUAUUGUGAUUGCUUAUUGAAGAUGAAAUUUGAUUUUCCUUUUUGAUGUUACUUCUCCAGCACAGUACCUGGUAUGUGGAAGGCACUCAAACUAGGGCCAACCUGGUGCCAGCUAACCUGGGACUAGUGCAAGCUCCUGAAAUUCACCUGGUCAAGGGACACAUGUUCACAGGAUCUCCUGGGGUUGUGUCACCAAAAAAAAAAAAAAUUUCACCUGGUGUCUCUAGUCACCAUGAUUUUCUCUAAAAUGCCACACAGAAUUCUAUGUAUGGAAUUUUUUUCUUUUCUUUUUUCUUUCUUUCUUUUUCUUUUCUUUUUUUGAGACAGUCUGUCGCCAGUCUGGAGUGCAGUGGCGUGAUCUUGGCUCACUGCAGUCUCCUCCUCCCGGGUUCAAGCGGUUCUCCUGCCUCACCCUCCCGAGUAGCUAGGACUACAGGUCCGUGCCACCACGCCCAGCUAAUUUUUGUAUUUUUAGUGGAGAUGGGGUUUCACCAUGUUGGCAAGGAUGGUCUAGAACUCUUGACCUUGUGAUCUGCCCGCCUCAGCCUCCCAAAGUGCUGGGAUUACAGGCGUGAGCCACCGCGCCCGGCCAAAAUUUCUUAAAAAUAAGGAAAGUUCAAGUUUACUUUAGAUACCAUAGUUCAGGAUUUAAACUCCUGUCCUUACUUUGGAAUGUCAUUUUAGAUACUUAUGUGAUUGACUGAGGAAAAAGACAUUGUAACUGAUCUUAUCCCCUUUUAAAAAAAAAACCAGCUAACAAUUAUUCAUUUAGUCUUCUGUACAUUGUAUGAAAUAAAAUAUAGAAGACUAGGGGACAGUUUCUGCCCUCAAGGAGCUUAUGUGGUUUUUUUCGUGCGUUUUUUUGUUGUUGUUGUUUUGUUUUUGUUGUUGUUGUUGUUUUGACAGGUUCUUACACUGUCACCCAGGCUGAAAUGCAGUGGUGAGAUCUCGGCUGACUGCAACCUCUGCCUCCCAGGCUCAAGUGACCCUCACCUCAGUCUCCUGAGUAGCUGGGACUACAGGCAUGCACCAUCAUGCCCAGCUAAUUUUUGUGUGUGUGUUUUUGUAGAGACGAGGUCUCGCCAUGUUGCCCAGGCUGGUCUCGAACUCCUGGCUUCAAGUGAUUCACCUGCCUCAGCCUCUCAAAGUGCUGCGAUUACAGUCAUGAGCCACCUCACCCCGCCAGUCAGGCUCUUAAAAAAUCCAUCAUACAGGCCGGGCGCCAUGGCUCAUGCCUGUAAUCCCAGCACUUGGGAGGCCAAGUCGGGCGGAUCACGAGGUCAGGAGAUUGAGACCAUCCUGGCUAACACGGUGAAACCCCGUAUCUACUAAAAAUAACAAAAAAUUAGCCGGGCAUGCUGGCGGACGCCUGUAGUCCCAGCUACUCAGGAGGCUGAGGCAGGAGAAUGGCGUGAACCCGGAAGGCGGAGCUUGCAGUGAGCUGAGAUAGUGCCACUGCACUCCAGCCUGGGAGACAGAGCGAGACUAUGUCUCAAAAAAAAGAAAAAAGAAAAAAAAAAUCCAUCAUAUGUAUUCACUAAUUUAAUCUUCACAACAACUCUAAAGGGUAGGAACUAUUUUUUUUUUGCCCCAUUUUAGAUAUGAAAUGAGAGGCUGUGUUCGAGGUGUUUUCUGGGGUUGAUUUAAAUAGAAUUAAUAAACUCAGAAAAAAGAUUCUUAAUCGAUAAAGGUGGGUUUUUUUUGUUUUUUUUUUUUGAGUCGGAGUCUCACUCUGUCGUCCAGGCUGGAGUGCAGUGGCGUGAUAUCGGCUCACUGGAACCUCUGACUCCCUGGUUCAAGCAAUUCU